rnacentral:piRNA from 1 species
GUGACAUAGACGCACAGACGGAGCC